rnacentral:rRNA from 1 species
GUAGGUGAACCUGCGGAAGGAUCAUUAUCGAGCGAAUCCAAAACGAACGAAAAAGUCUCCCAACGUGCAUACCUUCCAUUUGCAUGUUGUUGUGAGCCACAUGGAAACUCGUACACACGUGGUGGCAGCCGUCUGCUGUGCUUUUUUUAGGCAGACAAUGGCUUACGAGUGGCCGUGUGCUUGUUGAACAACGGUGACCAAUUUGGCGUCUACGCCGUAUCUAGCUUCUGCCUGGACCGUCAGUUGCGAUGAAAGAUGCGGAGAAAGUUCCUUUGUUUUGGCUGCUAAUCAUCAUUGAUGAGCAGUAGCUUAAGGCAGAGUUGAGCAGACUUAAUGAGCCACGCUAGGUGGCCGCCAAAACCCAAAACACAACCGGUCUAUUUGACAUUGUUAUUUCAUUGUAUGUGUUGAAAAUGUACAAAUCUUGGCGGUGGAUCACUCGGUUCGUGGAUCGAUGAAGAACGCAGCCAGCUGCGAUAAAUAGUGCGAAUUGCAGACACAUUGAGCACUAAGAAUUCGAACGCACAUUGCGCUAUCGGGUUCAUUCCCGAUGGCACGUCUGGCUGAGGGUCGAAUUACGGUGAACUGUCUUCACGGUUUUUCUGGACUGUGAAGCAUUCGGCAAGCAAUUGCUGUUGUGUUGUUGGUGAUUCUAUCAUGGACAAUAUGACGAGCGGUUCCUUGCUUAGUGAUGACAAAAGAAGACGUCAACACCGAAUCUACUAUACUACUAAUACUAGUAUAUAGGUGAGGUGCUUUUGGUGGUCACAAAAGUGACAAGUAUGCCAUUUCAUAGGGGCAACAACCAGCAUACGUGAUAAGUUGGCUGGUUGAUGAAACGGCAACGGAGUGACGGACGUCUAUGUGAUCAAAAAUGAUACUAUUUGACCUCAGCUCAGUCGUGAUUACCCGCUGAAUUUAAGCAUAUAAUUAAGCGGAGGAAAAGAAACUAAC